AACGAACGCUGGCGGCAUGCCUAACACAUGCCAGUCGAACGAGACCUUCGGGUCUAGUGGCGCAAGGGUGCGUAAUGCGUGGCAACCGGCUCAUACGUACGGAACAACUCCCCGAGAGGGGUGCUAAUACCGGAUAAUGUUGCCGGUACCACGAUUUAUCUCCUCUGGGUGGGCCCGCGUUGGAUUAGCUGGCUGGUACGGUAAAAGCCUACCAAGGCGACGGGCCAUAGCUGGUCUGGGAGGAUGAUCCGCCACACUGGGACUGAGACACGGCCCAGACUCCUACGGAAGGAAGCAGUGGGGAAUAUUGGACGAUGGGCGAGAGCCUGCUCCAGCCAUGCCGCGUGGGUGAUGAAGGCCUUAGGAUUGUAAAGCCCUUUUACACGGGAUGAUAAUGACAGUACCGGGAGAAUAAGCUCCGGCUAACUACGUG
rnacentral:rRNA from 1 species